GUGAUCAUCGAGUCUUUGAACGCAUCUUGCGCCCCUUGGCAUUCCGAGGGGCACACCCGUUUGAGCGUCGUUAAUUCCUCAACCUUCUCCGUUUCUUUUGAUCGGGGAAGGCUUGGACUUUGGAGGAUUUUGCUGGGCUUUCUCUCGAAGCCCAGCUCCUCUUAAAUGGAUUAGCAGGGUCUCCUCAGCCGAAUCCCUUGACGUGAUAAGCAGUUCUACGUCCUGGUUUUUGGCUCCUGACCCCCCUCCCGUCUCGUUGAGAUAACGUGUAACCCUUGACCUCAAAUCGGGUGAGACUACCCGCUGAACUUAAGCAUAU
rnacentral:rRNA from 1 species